rnacentral:lncRNA from 1 species
UUUUUUUAUUUAUUUAUUAAUAUAAUAAUAGAAAAAGGAAAAUUACAACAAAUAGGAGAAAUAAAAUAAGACGGAUUACGGCGGUAAUGUUACCCAUAUAACACCGCCGGCAUAGACCUUACCUUAGCUAUCCUAUUGAGGCAAAGGCCUCCUGGACUAGCAAGCAUGUAAAAAGAAGGAACUCGCAAGAACUAAGAAUUGACUGAUCAUUACAGAGUUUAUAAUAUACUAUGUGAUGAUAUUACAUAGAAUUAUACUAAUGUGAUGGUAAAAUAAAAAGAUAAGGAACUUUUUUCUCAGUUGUGAUGAAAGUUUCGAUUUGUAGAAGAUGUCUUCUUUCACAUUUUUCAGGAAUUCUUCAAAAUUCAUACUUUAUUCUUGGAUUUCAAAAGUAACGUUUGAUCAACCUGUUUUUGUUUUGCCUUUCGCAUUGGGGGCCUCCUUAUGUUGACGUCUUCGAUCACCCUGCCGUCCCAACUUCUUUCCCUUUGACGAGGCUCUGCUUUAACAUUGUUUCUUGGAGCAAAAAUUGAGGUAUUAUAGUUUAAUCUACUGAAUACAGCAUCCCAGCUCUCCUCAUCUUUUUUGUUGCUUGAAAUUGAGGGUUCCCCGUACUCUUUGAUUGACAGUAAAGCUGUAUUGUUUCCUGCUUUGUUUGCUGCAGUAUGUUGCAGUUUUGCCAUUGUGGAUUGCUUCACUGUUUCAAUUGGAAAAAUUUCUUCCCCGCUGUAUAUACUGGAUGUAGAGAUGGG